AUUUUCGUGGUGUAACGGUAGCACACUCGGCUCGUAUUCGAGAGUUCCAAGUUCGAGUCUCGGCGAAGGCA
rnacentral:tRNA from 1 species